GCUCCGCUCCCCCCAGGCCUCAACCCCGCUGGCUACCCGCGCUGAAACCUCACCUGCCGCCGGCUGCAAACGGACUGCGCUCCAGGUUCUGCCAAAACAAGUGAUUGCAACAUAUAAUUGGACCAGCAACUAGAUGAUGUGACUCUUCUCUUCUGCCUGAGCCCUGGAUAUACUGUGUAUUAUGACACAUGGCUGAGUCCAACAUCAAGGUGAUGUGACUGACCACUUCUGCCUGGGCCAUGCCGAAAAAAGGAGAUUGUGACAUAUCACUGCAUUCAAUACCUAGAUGAUGCAGAUGAGAUUAUGACUGGUGGUCCACAGGUCUAGGUGGAUGGAGGGAAAGGUUGCUGCUGCUGUUUGAGGAUCAAGGGUAGGAAAGAGCCAGGAGUCCUCUAGGAACUUGUGUGAAUUUUUUGGUGAGCAAUUCUAGGUGCAAAGGCCCUAUAAACAUAAUUCCUGAUAGUCAAGUCUUGUUUUGUGGAGGGUGUGGCCACAUCUAUUCCUAGUGGGUAUGUUCAUAAGUAGGUGAGAAUCGUGUGGUAGCAGGUUGGGGGCAGGGGGUCUGUUCUCAGAACUCCUUUCUUCUAAGUCCUCAGUCCCCUUUUACCCUGAGAGGAGAUCUGGAAUCACAGGACAAUGUGCAUUGUGACAGACUGUGUGCAGGGGAACAGAGUUUCCCUCCUGCCUAAACCCCUGGGAUAUUUUUUCCUGACACCAAAUGUAUAGAGUUUUAACAGCAACCAAUUCUCCAACACCAAUUGGUUGUCCAAUAAUAACUCAAUUCUGAUACCAUCCUGAGUCAACGCAGACGCCAAAAGUUCAGGGCUCAGUCCCACAACACUGCCCCCACUGCAGAUCCCAGCUGCGAUUAUUAGGGGCCCAUCUAUCCUUCUGAGCUACUGCCUAUAAAUUGGGGGCUCCCAUAACCUGCUCCUCAAGUUUAAUAACUUAAUAUAACUACUCACAGAACUCAACAAAACACUAUACAUGCAUUUACCAGUUUAUUAUAAAGAUACAAGUCAGGAACAGCCAAAUGGAAGAAAUGUAAAUGGCAAGAAAAAGCGGUGGGGGGGAAUGGGGUGGGUAGGUAACAGCAACAGCUGUGAUUAAAGAAAUCCCCCAUCCUUUGUGUUUUCCAAGAGCAUUUACUGCAAAGAAACAUCUUUCCUGUUUUUGAUAUCACAAAGCCACAGACUCUAAAUUCCCUUUUUUGGGGGUCUCAUAAACAAUUAAAUAAUAAGUUUGUCUUCAGUGGUCAGAACAAAAUACUUGUUAACCAAACUUUGUCUAAGUUUCUUUCCUUCCUCAGGCUCCCAAACUUUGACCUGAACUUACUCUGAGCUGACACACAACUCCUCUUUAUACCCCUCUUAAGAACAGGCUAGCCAGGUGUAGUGGCUCAUGCCUGUAAUCCCAGCACUAUGGGAGGCCAAGGUGGGCGGAUCACCUGAGGUUAGGAGUUCGAGGCCAGCCUGAACAGCAUGGAGAAAUCUCAUCUCUACUAAAAAUACAAAAUUAGCCAGGCAUGGUGGUGCAUGCCUGUAAUCCCAGCUACUGAGGAGGCUGAGGCAGGAGAAUUGCUGGAGCCCGGGAGGCAGAGGUUUCAGUGAGCUGAGAUCACACCAUUGCACUCCAGCCUGGGAAACAAGAGCAAAACUCGGUCUUUAAAAAAACAACAACAACAAAAAAUACAACAGGCUAACUUCUGGGUGAAACAUUCUCUGAUCUGGGACCUGAUUUCACCAUGUUUUAUUCCUCCCUCCCCCUCCUACCUUUCUUUCUGUCCUGUUUCCUCCUCCUUAUGAAAGAAAGCCCUAUUCUGCCUAACUUUUGAGAUCUUCCAGCAUCUUAUAGUUGGUGCUUUCCCUUUGUUGCAAUACUCCUUUAAAAUCAUGUAACUUCUUACCUAAAUCUGAAUUUGUCUUAUUUUACAAAAUCUAGAAAUAGCCCCAGGAAAAUAACGACUCCAUCCUCAGAAAGAGCUUCCCAACCCCACUUUCAUGCCAAUCCCAACUGUGUCUGCCUAAGGAUUUCCAGCUUUUCAGGGUUUUGUCAUUUCUCUAAGUAUAAAAGGCUCUGUCCAUGGCUAUUGUGAGCAGGCUAGGGCAUCUGCAGGGGAGGCUCCUCAGGCAGAACUGGUUGCUCCUUCAAUAAUCUCCCUUUGCAGGCAAAACUAUUGUUAGCUUGGGGAGUCACUGAAUUCAGGCUUCUACUUCCCAGUCAGGGUUAUUCACUUAGUUUUAAAUAAGAAAAUGCUCAAUGUUUGAAGAAAAGAGCAAAAUCACUCAAACACAGUGUUUAUAGAAUAUUGUAAGGAAAUUGUAAGGCACUUAGUAUCUAUUUCUUUCAGAAAAUAAACGUGUCAUUUAAAUAUUUCCAUGAUAAAUAAUUUAAUAAAUAACCAUAUGGGAACAUUUCUAGAAGGUGCUAAGUCUCAUCUCAUAAAAUUUAGCAUUAAACUUGGACAUCCAGACCACAGGAUACAGAACACAGAUGUCCACUGUUACAAAUUCUAGACCCUGCAAAAAAUGGGAGCUGAUGUUUUGAAAAAUAUAUGCAAUUCACCAGUUAAUCUAUCACAUUUGCUGUGGAAAUAUAUCACUUUCUGUAGCCAUAAUGCAAGAGCGAUUUUUCCUAUUUAUUUCCCUGGUAGCUUUGGUUUUUUUUUUUUUGUUUUUUUUUUGUUUUUU
rnacentral:lncRNA from 1 species